UACGUAGGCAGCAAGCGUUGUUCGGAGUUACUGGGCGUAAAGGGUGUGUAGGCGGUUCUUUAAGUUUGGUGUGAAAUCUCCCGGCUCAACUGGGAGGGUGCGCCGAAUACUGAGGGACUUCGAGUGCGGGAGAGGAAAGUGGAAUUCCUGGUGUAGCGGUGAAAUGCGUAGAUAUCAGGAGGAACACCGGUGGUGUAGACGGCUCUCUGGACCGUAACUGACGCUGAGGCACGAAAGCGUGGGUAGCAAACAGG
rnacentral:rRNA from 1 species